GUGAGUAAACACGAGGUCGCGCCCUUCCUGUGGGUAGCCACAUUGCAGCCUCCUAGGAGAGGAUGCGGCCCAUGUGCAGGUGCAGCAGGAACAGCAGGUCCACCCUACGGUCUUUUAAAAACAUUUUUAUUUUUAGAUAAUUGCAGUUCUGCAUGCAAUCAUAAGGACUAACACAGAGAUGCCGUGUGCCCUCUACCCGGUGUCCUUCAGUGGUGGCAUCUUGCAGGGCUGCGGUGACUGUGGUAUCAGAUCACAGCUGGGAGACCACACAGACUCAGCCCACCCAUCUCACUCAGCUCACACUGGUUCUACAUGCAUUCGUGUGCAUGUCUUGAUCUGUGCAAUUCUAGCACACGUAUGGAUUCGUGUGGCCACCACCACUGCCAAGAUGGAACAUCUCUGUCCAACAGGGGCCCUCCUGUGGACUCGUCACAGCCACAGCCACCUCCCCUCUUCCCUGGCCCCCACCGUCCACUCUCCAUCUCUACAAUUUGUUGUUCUAAGAAUGCUGUGUAAAUGGAGUCAUGCGGUGUGUGUGACAGGCUUUCCUCUCAGCCUGAGGCCGGCCGGGGUCGUGUGUCAGGAGCCUGUGGCCAUCUGUUGCUGAGCAGAGUGUGCUCAGCGUCUGCCUGUCGAAGGAAGGGGUGGAGGCUGCCUCUGUGCGGCUUCUCUCACAGGUGGUUCUGCGCGCCUGGUGUCGUCGGGGGCAUUUCUUCCUCCAGAGGGGAUCUCAGUGCGAACAUGGGCCCCCGUCACCUCAGGUCACCGAGGCCUCCCUGCAAGCACCCCAGAGAAGGACUGAAGAAGCACCACGUCAUGUUUAGGGGGGUGGAGGCCUGGCCAGGGAGCCACACUGAUGGCAUCCUGAGAUCCUGGGGCUGUCACUCAGAGGGUGUGGGAGGAAAAGCCCUGGGGGCAGAGCGUGAAAUGCCACCAGAACUGACCGCUUCUGGUUCUCUGUACUCUGGCCGGACUGCUGUUCCGCACACAGCCCGCCCCUCAUGGGCCCCACAGCCGCCGUCCCGUGUUACAGAUGGAGACGCAGAGAUGAUCAGGGGGAAAGAGUGUGUUCACAUGGAACUACAUGGAAGGAACAGGACCUAAUUUAAGUGGUGUGUCACACACUAGGCGUGGUAACAGCAGUGUCAGUCAAUCAUUUUCAUACGGUUAAAUGAGAUUUGUCAAUGCCCACAGGGGCCGUGUGGGCCCCAGCGCCCAGCUUUGCCCUCUGCCUCAUGCUGUCGCUGGCCCCCUCUGAGGCACAACCUGGCACAUUUCCUCUUCAGCAGCUGCCACCCUCCCUCCCUUCUGUGUCACCCACACCCCGGAAGCUGGGAGUAAUGACAGCCCAGCCUGCGUGAAGGGCGAGGGCAGUACUGGGCG
rnacentral:lncRNA from 1 species